rnacentral:lncRNA from 1 species
CGAACAGCGAGUUUUAUGACGUGCAUGAGCCGUCUAAUUUUGCACCAGUGGCCCCAAUUGCCCCACAAAGUCUCCUUCCUGUUUGGGCAGUGGCCUCUGCUAAUGGGCUUGUACCCACUACCAGUGGGACGACUUUCUUUAUGGUGCAGCCGCCACCCACUAGUACAACUACUAUUGCUACUGCUGGGCCUUCAUAUCCACCUCAGUUGUGGGCCACCCCAUUAUAUAAUAUUCCAGGAAGGCCCAUUUCAAAUUUUGUAUCUGGAAUUAGCUAUGUAGGGGUCUCUGCUGCUGAAGGUCAAGUGAGUUCGUCAAAAAGUGAUGGGAAUGUUUCAGCCAUGGCUCCAAGUUCCAGUUCUA